rnacentral:rRNA from 1 species
UACGUAGGGUGCGAGCGUUAAUCGGAAUUACUGGGCGUAAAGCGUGCGCAGGCGGUUCGUUAUGUCCGAUGUGAAAGCCCUGAGCUUAACUUGGGAAUGGCAUUGGAAACUGGCGGGCUGGAGUGCGGCAGAGGGGGGUGGAAUUCCACGUGUAGCAGUGAAAUGCGUAGAGAUGUGGAGGAACACCGAUGGCGAAGGCAGCACCCUGGGCCGACACUGACGCUCAGGCACGAAAGCGUGGGGAGCAAACAGG